rnacentral:rRNA from 1 species
UCUGUCUGCUUUCACGCUGCCCCUCACUGGUCUUGUCUGAGCUCAGAAGCUAAGCAGGGUUGGCCCCGGUUAGUAUUGGAUGGGAGACCAUCUGGGAAUGGAGCCUGCUCUAGGCCAGAU